GAGGGCAUAGCUCAGUGGUAGAGCGUGUGCUUAGCAUCCACAAGAUCUUGGGUUCAAUCCCCAGUCCCUCCU
rnacentral:tRNA from 1 species